rnacentral:rRNA from 1 species
CGGUCCCUAUCUGUUGCGGGCGUGGGAAGUUUGCGAGGACCUGACCUUAGUACGAGAGGACCGGGUUGGACUAACCUCUGGUGAAUCUGUUGUGGCGCCAGCUGCAUUGCAGAGUAGCUACGUUGGGAUUGGAUAAGCGCUGAAAGCAUCUAAGCGCGAAGCCAACUUCAAGAUGAGUUUUCUUUUAAGGGCCGUGGAAGACUACCACGUUGAUAGGCUAUAGAUGUAAAGGCAGAAAUGUCAAAGUCGAGUAGUACUAAUUACCCG